GGUAGUCCAUGCCGUAAACGUUGGGCACUAGGUGUGGGGACCAUUCCACGGUUUCCGCGCCGCAGCUAACGCAUUAAGUGCCCCGCCUGGGGAGUACGGCCGCAAGGCUCAAACUCAAAGGAAUUGACGGGGCCCCGCACAAGCGGCGGAGCAUGCGGAUUAAUUCGAUGCAACGCGAAGAACCUUACCAAGGCUUGACAUGUUCUCGAUCGCCGUAGAGAUACGGUUUCCCCUUUGGGGCGGGUUCACAGGUGGUGCAUGGUUGUCGUCAGCUCGUGUCGCGAGAUGUUGGGUUAAGUCCCGCAACGAGCGCAACCCUCGUUCCAUGUUGCCAGCACGUAAUGGUGGGGACUCAUGGGAGACUGCCGGGGUCAACUCGGAGGAAGGUGAGGACGACGUCAAAUCAUCAUGCCCCUUAUGUCUUGGGCUUCACGCAUGCUACAAUGGCCGGUACAAUGGGUUGCGAUACUGUGAGGUGGAGCUAAUCCCAAAAAGCCGGUCUCAGUUCGGAUUGGGGUCUGCAACUCGACCCCAUGAAGUCGGAGUCGCUAGUAAUCGCAGAUCAGCAACGCCGCGGUGAAUACGUUCCCGGGCCUUGUACACACCGCCCGUCAAGUCACGAAAGUUGGUAACACCCGAAGCCGGUGGCC
rnacentral:rRNA from 1 species